GUCCUAUGGUACUGCUUUCAGGAUUGGGUGUUUUUGCUGAAGAGUACAUAAAAAGGGACAUUUUGUUUGUUUCCAUGAGGGUUUUGGUCCUUUCUGGUGAAGAGAGAUUGAAGAGGUUCAGUAGUGAGCAUGAAAUUGUUAGUAGGGAGCUUCCUGUUUUUCUCACGACACAAUGGACAAGAAUUUAGUAUUGAUGCAAGUCACAGCAAGUACCGAUUCUCCCAAGUGGAAAAGUAAGGAGGUGGUUGAGCAGAAAGAAGAAAUAUAGCUGACUUUUUAUACCAUAAAAAACAUCAAAAAGAGCCAGGAACUUAGAUUUGAUUAUAAUAACAAAUCUGUACAUAGUCGCAAAGAUUUCUCGCUCAACAGCAAGAGUCAAGAACAGAAGCCAUCAAUGAAUCAGAGGAUUUUGAACCUGUCAAAGCAACAAACAACAAGCAAAAAAAACUGACAGCAGUAAAGUAUCAGAUUCAAAUAAGCGGCAAAAUCAACAAGCAGAGAUUAUGUUAACAAAUGAUGACCAACCUUAGCUCCACAUCAAAUGACGGCAAAAGAAAGUUUGAUAGUAGUGAGUUGUCUGUAACAGAUCAACGUGCCAUGGAAGUAUUGAAAAAAAGAUGACCAACAUGCCAAUCUGUGCUCAACCCCUUAGCUGUCCCUAGUUUGCCGCUCCAAACCACAGGCAUUGUUUCCACUAGCAUCAGUCUACCUCAGUCUACACCAUCUUCAUUUUCCUUGUCAAAUACAUCUGCUGCUAAUACUACAUGCACCCCAGCUAUGGUUUCUCAGUCAUCCCAAUACUUUGGGUUUCAACCACAACCCCCUGUUCAGAUUGUACCAGUUACUUGUGCCACUGCUAGUGAACCAAGCAUAGAAGCUUAACCGACUUACUUCAACCUUAACACACAU